UACCACUUCAAGGCCAACAAACUUACACUGUUCCUGGCCAGGAUGCCAUCGACACUGGGUGUUUUCCAAGGCACACUGGGCCUCUAGGACUGAAAAAUGAAGGUGACUGCUACUAUGAACCUGUUUGGACACCAGACAGCAACAAAUACCUGUCUCAAUGGAGGAGUUUAAGAGCACUGCAGAGAUCUUCAGGCAGUGCAGAGUAUCUUGGCUUACACAGGCCACUGUCUUUAUUUCAAAACAGUACUAGUCGUGCUUUCUCUGUACCUGCAACUGAAGAACUAGAGGAACAGGAGGACAGCAGUAAAUCUAAUCCAAAACUCUUCAUGUCGCAGAAAAUACCCUGAAGUCUAAGCAGGAUGAGACUCUUGCUACUGUACACAUGGCCUUUCAAGAUGAGCAACUCCCAUAGAACAGCACUUACUGCGAUACUACAGGCUUAUUGAACAAUCCAUCGACCCUUUUGUAGUGAGUCCACUUAGUGCAGAAUGGCUGCAGGGAAACUAUUCAGACAUCCCAGUAGAACACAACGCCGAUUGGAACAAAUCCCUUCAGGAUUUAACACAGGAAGCAGGGAUGUUUAUGCAGGUACGAUAAAUAAAUGAAUAUUGGACUACAUCACAUAGGUCCUGGAGAACAAAAGAG